GACGAACGCUGGCGGCGUGCUUAACACAUGCAAGUCGAACGGAGUGGCGAACGGGUGAGUAACCCGUGGGUGACCUGCCCUGCACUUCGGGAUAAGCCUGGGAAACUGGGUCUAAUACCGGAUAGUGGGGGAUGGGCCCGCGGCCUUUCAGCUUGUGGGUGGGGUACGGUCCUACCAAGGCGGCGACGGGUGGCCGGCCUGAGAGGGUGGACGGCCACAUAGGGAGUCAGACGCUGACCAGACACCUACGGGAGGUAUCAGGGUGGAAGAUUGCACAAUGGGCGGAGGCCUGAUGCAGCGACGCCGCGUGGGGGAUGACUGCCUUUGGGUUGUAAACUCCUUUCUCCCUCGACGCGGUAGAUGGAGAAGAAGCACCGGCUAACUACGUGCCAGCAGCCGCGGUAAUUC
rnacentral:rRNA from 1 species